rnacentral:rRNA from 1 species
AGAGAGAGACAUGCGCGCAUAUCAAUAAGCGGAGGAAAAGAAACUAACUAGGAUUCCCCUAGUAACUGACGUAGUGAAGCGGGAAGAGCUCAAAUUUGAAAUCUUAAAGGGUUUCCCUUUACGAAUUGUAGUUUAAAGAAGUGUUUUCUGUUGAGAUUUUGGUAAAAGUUCUUUGGAAUAGGACAUCAUAGAGGGUGAGAAUCCCGUAUUUGACCUUUACUUUCAACUUUGUGAUACACUUUCAAAGAGUCGGAUUGUUUGGGAAUGCAGUCCAAAAUGGGUGGUAAAUUUCAUCUAAAGCUAAAUAUUGGCGAGAGACCGAUAGCGAACAAGUACCGUGAGGGAAAGAUGAAAAGAACUUUGAAAAGAGAGUUAAACAGUACGUGAAAUUGUCAAAAGGGAAGCGUUUGACACCAGUGUUGUUUUUCUAAAAAUCAAUUAAAGAACUGUUUAUGCUAAGCUGUUUGGACUUUAUCAGCUAUCUGUUUAGUUUUGAGCUUUUCUUUAAUGCACUUUUCAGUUAACAAGUCAACAUCAAUUUCUUUUGCUGUAAAAAAGCUUGAGGAAGGUGGCUUGAGAUUCGUCUUAAGUGUUUAUAGCCUCUUGCCUAUGCAGUCGGAGAGAUUGAGGUCUGCAGCGUAGAUCCUUCGGGGCUAAAUGCAUUUGUGCUAAGUUAUAGCAUUUUAUAGACAACUUGUUGACUAUGAUUUGUCUUGUAGCUUACUCGCUUAUGUUAUUUUACCUACGCUUAGGAUGUUGACACAUGAGAUAUACGC